AUGACAGUUACUGACCUGCAAAACGACACUGUUACUGACCUGCAGAACGACACUGUUACUGACCUGCAGAAUGACACUGUUACUGACCUGCAGAACGACACUGUUACUGACCUGCAGAAUGACAGUUACUGACCUGCAAAACGACACUGUUACUGACCUGCAGAACGACACUGUUACUGACCUGCAGAAUGACACUGUUACUGAACUGCAGAACGACACUGAGACCUUCCUGGAAAAAAGUGGAAUGGACACCUUUUCCAUCCUUAACGUGACAACAGCAGAUUCUGGACUGCACCCUGAUGGGAAAAGUUAAUGUAGCUGUAUGUUCGAAUACAGCUACAAGUCAGGCAACAAGCAGUAGCAUGGCUGGAUUCAGCACACCACCUCACUACCUCACGACUUCCAGUGAGACACAGCCUGAAUCAGGUCCUGUGCAGCAGUGUGGACCUCACAGUGCAGUACUUCCCUGGGCUGUUGCUGGUGUAUCUCUAAGUGUGAACGUCCUCUGCACAAUCUUCAUGAUAUUCCUUUGGAAAGCAAGAACAAAGGUGACACCAAAUCAAGAG